GGCAGGCAGAGGGGAGCUAAGGAGGGGAAGAGGGGAGAGGUGGUUAGUCCUCAGAGCCAGGAGAGAGGCUCCUUAAGGACCUCAGCCAGCAGGGCCAGCCCAGGCCUGCUCCGACCUCUGGUCUCCAGCCAGGCCUGCAUCUCAGACUCUGUGUUACCAAGCUAGAGGGGAUCUGCAAGUGUGCUCCCAAGGGCUCCCAGGCCCAGCUGCAGUUCGCGCCACCAGCACCGCCGAGCCUGUUUCCCUCCCUCGCCUGGCCUCAGCAGUGAGUCCGGCCACCACAGACGCUGUUGAAAAGUCCCAACUGUCCCUGGAGGCCCGAUUCAAGUUCCUUCCAUUGCUGAAAGGAUCCAAAGGUUUCCACCUGGCUCAAGUGUGAGAGGGCGCCUCAUCACACUCCCUGGGGACCCUCAGAAUUCCCUCUACCCCCGGAUGCCUCUCAGUCCUAGCAUGUGGGGCCUGACCCGGUCCCUGGAGAGGAGUCAUAUCCCACACAGCCCUCCACUGCUCCUACAAACAGAUUUCUAGAAGGCCUCCCUGCACAGAUGCGUCUUGGGCUGAAGCUGGGACCCUGCUACACAACCAUCAGCUCAGCCCGGCUCGCAACCGACUCUACCCGCCUGGGACUCAUACCCUUCCAUCUGAUCCUUCCCCAAAAGGGCUCCAGUCCUUGAUCCUUCAGCUUUCAAGACGUUUGAGAUUCGUCCCCCAGCUCAAACAUGGCCCGUGUGGAAACCCACAUGACAGAUCCCCCUCCAUCCCUCUCUGUCCAUGUUCCUGCCUCUCCCGUGUAUUAUUUCCUUCUACACGUCGAGGCUCCUAGAGACAAUGCAUCUGUUCCCAUGCUGGGUGUAGAGCAAGUGCAGAACACUAGCUCUGAGGUUGGCUGACUCCAUGAAUAAAAUGGGAG